rnacentral:lncRNA from 1 species
GUCCUUGCAUAGAGGCACUAGGCGAGUGUUUUUCAUACAUGAUUUCGGGCAUUUUCGAUGUCCUACGUAUGGCUUUUCAAUAAGAUAGCAAGCCGUAUGUUGUUGCUUGCGUUCCUGCCGCAAUGACCGAAGUGUUCUGGGCACCCUGCCGCCUCUUCGAAUCCCUGAGGGAGUUUGACAUAUCUUUUGAAGAAAGACGGUUGUCGGUUUUCUUUGACAGAGUCGGAGUCCGCCAAGCAAGAAGAUCCUUGCUGGCAUGUGUGUCUGUGCAGCCCGUCCUCAAGGUGUGGUUGGGUUUUGGCAAUAUAUUCGAGCCUCUCUUCGAUUUCCGUUGUCACCUUCUCCGGCAC